rnacentral:rRNA from 1 species
UACAGAGGUGGCAAGCGUUGUUCGGAAUUACUGGGCGUAAAGGGCGCGUAGGCGGUUCGAUAAGUCCCGUGUGAAAGCCCCCGGCUCAACUGGGGAACUGCACGGGAAACUGACGGACUUGAGUUCGGGAGAGGGAAGCGGAAUUCCGGGUGUAGCGGUGAAAUGCGUAGAAUAUCCGGAGGAACACCGGUGGCGAAGGCGGAUCUCUGGGCCAUUACUGACGCUGAGGAGCGAAAGCGUGGGGAGCGAACAGG